rnacentral:tRNA from 1 species
CAAGACAUAGCUAAAGUAGUAGAGCACCUCCCUUACACCGAGAAGUUGGUCGUGCGAAUCGACCUGUCCUGA